AGCAGUAGCCACGGGAAUACGUAGGUGGCAAGCGUUGUCCGGAAUUAUUGGGCGUAAAGGGCUCGCAGGCGGUUUCUUAAGUCUGAUGUGAAAGCCCCGGCUCAACCGGGGAGGGUCAUUGGAAACUGGGAAACUUGAGUGCAGAAGAGGAGAGUGGAAUUCCACGUGUAGCGGUGAAAUGCGUAGCGAUGUGGAGGAACACCAGUGGCGAAGGCGACUCUCUGGUCUGUAACUGACGCUGAGGAGCGAAAGCGUGGGGAGCGAACAGGAUUAGAUACCCCCGUAGUCCCUGUCUCUUAUACA
rnacentral:rRNA from 1 species